GACGAACGCUGGCGGCGUGCUUAACACAUGCAAGUCGAACGAAGUGGCGAACGGGUGAGUAAUACGUGGGUAACCUGCCCUCCUUUUUGGGAUAAGCCUUGGGAACGGUGUCUACUACCGAAUUAAGGGGGAUGGGCUCGCGGCCUAUCGGCUUGUUGGUGGGGUGAUGGCCUACCAAGGCGGUGACGGGUUGCCGGCCUGAGAGGGUGCACGGCAACAGUGGGACGGAGAUGCGGCCCAGACGCGUACGGAGGGCAGCAGUGGGGGAUAUUGGAGAACGGGCGAAAGCCUGAUGCAGCGAGGACGCGGAGGGGAUGAAGGCUUUCGGGUUGUAAAAGUCGUUAGGAAGCGAACGGGUAGGUGGAGAAGAAGCGCCGGCUAACUACGUGCCAGCAGCCGCGGUAAUAC
rnacentral:rRNA from 1 species